GCUCCAGUAGCUCAGUUGGUUAGAGUACGUCCUUGGUAAGGACGGGGUCCUGAGUUCAAUCCUCAGCUGGGGCU
rnacentral:tRNA from 1 species